AGGAUGAACGCUGGCGGCGUGCUUAACACAUGCAAGUCGAACGAUGAUCCCUAGCUUGCUGGGGGGAUUAGUGGCGAACGGGUGAGUAACACGUGAGUAACCUGCCCUUGACUCUGGGAUAAGCCUGGGAAACUGGGUCUAAUACUGGAUACGACUGACUAUCGCAUGGUGGUUGGUGGAAAGCUUUUGUGGUUUUGGAUGGACUCGCGGCCUAUCAGCUUGUUGGUGGGGUAAUGGCCUACCAAGGCGACGACGGGUAGCCGGCCUGAGAGGGUGGACGGCCACGACUGGGACUGAGACACGGCCCAGACUCCUACGGGAGGCAGCAGUGGGGAAUAUUGCACAAUGGGCGCAAGCCUGAUGCAGCGACGCCGCGUGAGGGAUGAAGGCCUUCGGUUGUAAACCUCUUUCAGUAGGAAGAAGCGAAAGUGACGUACCUGCAGAAGAAGCGCCGGCUAACUACGUGUCAGCAGCCGC
rnacentral:rRNA from 1 species